rnacentral:rRNA from 1 species
UACGUAGGGGGGCAAGCGUUGUCCGGAUUUAUUGGGCGUAAAGAGCGUGUAGGCGGCCAGAUAGGUCUGCUGUGAAAACUCGAGGCUUAACCUCGAGAUGUCGGCGGAAACCAUCUGGCUAGAGUCCGGAAGAGGAGAGUGGAAUUCCUGGGUGUAGCGGUGAAAUGCGCAGAUAUCAGGAAGAACACCCGUGGCGAAGGCGGCUCCUCUGGGACGGUACUGACGCUGAGACGCGAAAGCGUGGGGAGCGAACAGG